GAGGGAAAGUUGCAAAGCACUUUGAAGAGAGAGUUAAAAAGGACGUGAAACCGAUGAGGUGGAAACGGACAGAGCCGGCGUAUCUGGCUUGCAUUCAAGCAUGCGCUCUAAGGCGCCAUGCAAUUGCUCUCCAGUUUGGGACGGUUGCUUGGCUGUCUGCGAGAGGAUGCUGCAUUUGCAGGAAGAGUGCGCCGAGGCAGUCAGGAUAGCGGCACAAGUUUGGUCUUGAGGCCAGCCCUUCGGGGUCUGGUACCCGGACCAGGGGUGUGCUGUUUCUCCUUACUGGCGAAGGGAGUGGUAGUCGGGCACGGUUAGGUGCAGAGCUGGCAGCCAGUGGCGGUCGCAUGCGACACGUGCUGGCGGUCAGUUCGGUCUUGGUCGAGCUCUCAGAUCCCGAACUUCGGUGUAAAAGCUGGUCAUCUGUCCGACCCGUCUUGAAACACGGACCAAGGAGUUUAGCGUGUGCGCGAGUCAUUGGGCGUUGAAAACCCAAAGGCGCAAUGAAAGUGAAGGUCUCCCCUGUGGAGCUGAUGUGUGACCUGGGUCAUCUCAGUGGCCUUGAGCAACAUGGUCCCGUCCUGACCGCAUGCGGUGGGGCGGAGACAGAGCGUACGCGCUGAGACCCGAAAGAUGGUGAACUAUUCCUGAGCAGGACGAAGCCAGAGGAAACUCUGGUGGAAGUCCGAAGCGAUUCUGACGUGCAAAUCGAUCGUCUGACUUGGGUAUAG
rnacentral:rRNA from 1 species